rnacentral:lncRNA from 1 species
GUACCCCCUGUGCUUCAUUGCUUGCAUCUUGUCAUAAGUGGGAUCGUACAGCCUAUCACCUUUCGGAACUGUUUUGUUUUUCUCACGCAGCACAAUCCUCUGGAGAGUCAUGCAGUUGUCGUAUGUGUCAGGAGUUCAUUUCUUUUCAUUGCUGAGUAGAUUUCCUUCCCUAGUAUGUAUGUUGCACAGUUUAUCUGUUUACCAGCGGAAGGACAGGUGGGCUGAUUCCAGCUAUUGGCUUAUUACAAAUAGAUCUGAUAUGAACAUUAGCAUACAGAUUUGUGUGUGAAUAGAAGACUUCAUUUCCCUGGGGAACAUUGCUCAGGAAUGCAAUUUCUUGGUCAUGUGGUAGUGACAUGUUUAUGUGGGGGCCUUUAUCUUUGGGUAAUUCUUUGAGUUUAUCCUGUUUGGGGUUUACUCAGGUUCUUGCAUGUGUAAGUUUAUGUCUUUUGCCAAAUGUGGGUCAUUUUCAGCCAUUCUUUCUUUGAGAACUGUUUCAGCCUCACCUUCUGGGUCUCUGAUGACACAAUGGUAGAGCUUUUGUUAUAGCCCCACAGGUCCCACAGGAGACUAGUUUCUUAAGUCUUUUUUCUCUCUGUUGUUCAGAAUGGGUGAUUUCUAUUGUUGAAUCUUCCAGUUCACUGAUUCUUUUCUCUGUUCCCUCCAUUCUGCUGUUGAGCCCAUUCCCUGAGCUUUCAUUUGAGUUAUUAUAUUUUUCAGCUCUAGAAUUUCCAUUUGGUUCUUUUUUUUUUUUUUUUCCAUAUGGCUGCACCAAUGGCAUAUGGAAGUUCCCAGCCCAGGGAUUGAAUGAGACACAGCUGCAACCUAUGCCACAGCUGCAGCAAUGUCAGAUCUUUCUAACCCACUGCACCAGGCUGGGGAUCAAACCCAUACCUCUGCAAGUGACUCAGGAGACUAAGUCAGAUUCUUAACCCCCUGUGGCAUGGUCGGAUGCCCAUUUAGUUCUUCUUUAGAUCUUCUAUUUCUUUGCUAAAGCUUUCUGGUUUUUUCAGUUACUUCAAGCAUAUGCAUAAUUUUUGUUAGGGCAUUUUUAUUAUGGCUGCUUUAAAAUAGUUUUCAGGUUAUCCUGACAUCUCUGUCCUUUAGACGGUAGCAGCUACGGAUGGUCUUUUUUCAUUCAGUUUGAGAUCUUCUCUGUUCUUGGUAUGAAGAGUGAUUUUGAAUGACAUGAACAUUUAAAAAUUAUUUUAUGGGACUCUGGAUCUUAUUUAUUUAUGUAUUGCUUGACGUGGGAUCCCAAGUCCCAGACCGGGGGAUCCAGUUGGGAUGCAGCAGUGAAUGCGCUGAAUCCUAGCCACUAGACCACCAGGGAACUCCCUAUGGAUGUUAUUUAAGCCUUCUGUGUCAGCUGGCUUUUCCUGCCACUGCUCUGGCAGGAAAAGGGGAGGUGCUGCCCCUUUCCUGGCAGGUGGAGGUAGAAGUUCAAGUUUCCUCUUCAGCCUCUGUUGACGACUGAGGGCUGAGGGUGGGAGUUCCACUGCCUCACGUGGUCUCCACUGCCACCUCAGCGAUGAUGGCCUGAUUGCUGCAGAAGUGAGUGGAAUUCUGACUCUCAAGGACACCACCCCAGCAGGGAGGGGGAGGGAGGCCGAAUUCCUGCCAAUCUGGCUGGAAGUCAGGUUUCCACGUGGUAUCCUGGAGUGGACCCUGCGUGUGGGAGGCCUCAUUACCAGCUGGCUGGGGUGAAAGUCCCCACUCCCUACCUGGCCCUCUCCGCAACCACCCUGGCAGGGAUGUUGAGUGCCUGUGAUUGGCCUGGGGAGAGUGGAAAGCUAGGCUCACCACUUAGCCUUCGCUGGUGUGGGUGUGGGUGGGGCCACAGCUUUUGUGUAAUAUUUGGCUGGAAUCGAGUGGUUCUUUCUGAAGUUUUCUGCCUUGUCAGGCUGCCCCUUUCCUGGGGAGAAAGGCAGGCCUUCGUUGGGGCUGGGUCUGCAGUGUCUCCAGGUUGCGGCCUUCCUUACCUCCAAGCCUGGGACACUCAGGGCAAAAAGAAAAGCCAGGGAAGCCCAUUGCUGUGCUGUUUGUUCCUUGGGUCCUGAGGUCCCUGGCCAUUCUGCCUUCUCUUCACUUUCCUCUUCUUAACAUUUCUUUGUCUGUGGUUUCCAGGGCUUUAGUUGCUGUAUUUAGCAGGAGGAAUAGGAAAAAGCACAUCGACUCUGUUUUCCCAGGAGCAGAGAUCUCUCAGAAAAGGAGGAUUUACGGGAAAGCUACCGAGGUACGUCAUUCAGUCAAAGGAAUGGUUGGGCAGCCGGCCUGCAGGAGGAGACAGGCACAGCUGGGCCUCAGGAAUUUCUGGAACUGGCGCCGGGGUGCUGGAGGCCCUUGCUUGUCUCGACUCGUCCUCCUCGUGUGCAUCAGUCGCAUUCUCUCUCUCUCUCCACGUGAAAUUCGAGGAAUGAAUGCGGCCACCUCAUGCAUCAAAAUUUCACAUCUCGUGGCUCCUCCAGCAGAAGGAGCCAGACUUCCUGAGCUCCUGUUUGACAAAACGCUCCGGAAGAUCUUCCUUUGGCCCGGCUUGGGCCAGGUGUGCUCCUGGACCCACUGAAUCCGGUCGGGUUGGGGAGUGUCUCUAAGGACCUGGCAGCUUCUGGGGGGUCACAAGGAUGCAGAGGAAUGCCUCUCGGCAAAAGGGAGGGUGCUGGAAAGAUAACACGUUGGUUUAUUC